CAAAAAUGUGAAUGCUUUGGAGUAACGAAGCGGCAUUGCUGAUAGGGCUUAAAGUGUUAAAACUGUAGUGCUACUGUUCAGAUCGUCUUUGCUUUGCAAGGUUAUGAUUCUUCUAAAAGAUGCCUGUCUGGAGAUAUAUUUAAAUGCUGAACCUUUGGAACGUUUUACAUAUCUUGACAAUUUCAUUGAAGGUCUGGUUUUUCAUAAGUUAAUAUAAACUCUGACAAAGAGAUAAUCGUUAUAAUGAAGUGUUAGUUCGUGGUUCACGAAUUCUUCUCAGCUGCUGACGCUUCCUACAAUUUCGGACAGGAUAUUUAAAAAAAACUAGUUGGUGGAAAUUACCCACAAAACCUAUUGUGAAAAACAAAUAUUGAAUAGCAAAGUAGAGUCUAAGCAAUAAAUUUCAAUUAGAAUUACACCAUUAGCGACCACGAAUAAAUGCUGGAAAGACGUCAAAUAAUAAAUUGGUCAAGAUUAUUCAA